CUUCGGUGGGGAUUAGUGGCGAACGGGUGAGUAACACGUGGGCAAUCUGCCCUGCACUCUGGGACAAGCCCUGGAAACGGGGUCUAAUACCGGAUACUGAUCAUCUUGGGCAUCCAAGGUGUUCGAAAGCUCCGGCGGUGCAGGAUGAGCCCGCGGCCUAUCAGCUUGUUGGUGAGGUAAUGGCUCACCAAGGCGACGACGGGUAGCCGGCCUGAGAGGGCGACCGGCCACACUGGGACUGAGACACGGCCCAGACUCCUACGGGAGGCAGCAGUGGGGAAUAUUGCACAAUGGGCGAAAGCCUGAUGCAGCGACGCCGCGUGAGGGAUGACGGCCUUCGGGUUGUAAACCUCUUUCAGCAGGGAAGAAGCGAAAGUGACGGUACCUGCAGAAGAAGCGCCGGCUAACUACGUGCCAGCAGCCGCGGUAAUACGUAGGGCGCGAGCGUUGUCCGGAAUUAUUGGGCGUAAAGAGCUCGUAGGCGGCUUGUCACGUCGGUUGUGAAAGCCCGGGGCUUAACCCCGGGUCUGCAGUCGAUACGGGCAGGCUAGAGUUCGGUAGGGGAGAUCGGAAUUCCUGGUGUAGCGGUGAAAUGCGCAGAUAUCAGGAGGAACACCGGUGGCGAAGGCGGAUCUCUGGGCCGAUACUGACGCUGAGGAGCGAAAGCGUGGGGAGCGAACAGGAUUAGAUACCCUGGUAGUCCACGCCGUAAACGGUGGGCACUAGGUGUGGGCAACAUUCCACGUUGUCCGUGCCGCAGCUAACGCAUUAAGUGCCCCGCCUGGGGAGUACGGCCGCAAGGCUAAAACUCAANAGGAAUUGACGGGGGCCCGCACAAGCGGCGGAGCAUGUGGCUUAAUUCGACGCAACGCGAAGAACCUCACCAAGGCUUGACAUACACCGGAAAACCCCGGAGACAGGGUCCCCCUCGUGGUCGGUGUACAGCUGGUGCAUGGCUGUCGUCAGCUCGUGUCGUGAGAUGAUGGGUUAAGUCCCGCAACGAGCGCAACCCUCGUCCCGUGUUGCCAGCAAGCCCCCUCGGGGGUGUUGGGGACUCACGGGAGACCGCCGGGGUCAACUCGGAGGAAGGUGGGGACGACGUCAAGUCAUCAUGCCCCUUAUGUCUUGGGCUGCACACGUGCUACAAUGGCCGGUACAAUGAGCUGCGAUACCGCGAGGUGGAGCGAAUCUCAAAAAGCCGGUCUCAGUUCGGAUUGGGGUCUGCAACUCGACCCCAUGAAGUCGGAGUCGCUAGUAAUCGCAGAUCAGCAUUGCUGCGGUGAAUACGUUCCCGGGCCUUGUACACACCGCCCGUCACGUCACGAAAGUCGGUAACACCCGAAGCCGGUGGCCCAACCCCUGGGGAGG
rnacentral:rRNA from 1 species